rnacentral:rRNA from 1 species
UACGUAGGAUGCUAGCGUUGUCCGGAUUUACUGGGCGUAAAGCGCGCGCAGGCGGCACACCAAGUACGCAGUGAAAUCUCCCUGCUCAACGGGGAGGGUGCUGAGUAAACUGGUGAGCUAGAGGACGGUAGAGUGGGGUGGAAUUGCUGGUGUAGCGGUGAAAUGCGUAGAGAUCAGCAGGAACACCCGUGGCGAAGGCGGCCCCCUGGGCCGAACCUGACGCUGAGGCGCGAAGGCUAGGGGAGCGAACGGG